rnacentral:lncRNA from 1 species
GAUUUGGCUUAUCACAAUUAGGGGCAAUAGAAGAGAUUUUUCAAGGCAAGUCUAUGUGACGUGACCUUUGGUUUUCUAUUUGGUUGAAAGAAGUUUUAGAAAAUGAAUUUUUUUUGCUCAAACAUCUAACUUUUACUUACCAAAUCGUGGAUACAAGAUUACAACCUCAAUAGAUUUUAACCUCACAUACAAUGCCGAGAUCCAGUAUCGAUUAAAAUCACUUAGAAGGAUUUUACAGUAUCCAAUUGAAACGACAUUGUAUUUUUCACCACUACGAGAACAGACUCAUCCCAAGACCGGGAUGAGGCGUCUCUUAGACCACCUAAUUCUACCAUUACAAACCAAGAGUACAAGGCCAUUCCUAAACCAUCAAAUAGACUUAACAUGAGAAUUCCAUUGAGACCCAUAACGGCAAGUAUCAACAGAUCGGAGUGAUAUACAUGACCUGCUGCGUCAACACACAGAGGGCGCAUUUUCCCGUUUUGGUCCAUCAGAGAGACACGAGCAGGAGCUUGCAUCUUGUUGAAAAUUCGGGUUGAGGCUUUGGCUUCACCAGCGAUCCAUCAAGUCCAUCAAAGAGGAGAAGGAGCAGCCCUACCGAAUUGGACACUCCUUGCGGUACUGCGAAUGAGCUGAUCCUAUAUGUGACCUUACAAGCCUCGAGGGACUUUCGUUGACCAAUCGAAAGACCUUCAAGACUCUCCACACACUGUCUCCAAGAACCAGAACAAACAACUUCUCCUUAAGGACACCAACACGCCAAUACCGAAGCUCCGCUGUCCAAAGUAUAUCUUCAAACUCCAGCUUCUGCUUGGACCAUAAACAAGUCCUUACAGUCAUUGGAAGCUCAACAGAACGCAACUCAAAAGCUUGUCAGGCAAACACACAUCUUCCCUAAAGACUCCGGCACGCCUUAGAAGAAUAACUCCAAAGUAUACUUGGGCUCGAAGGACGAAUAAGCUACCCUUGCACUGGAUCUGCUUCACGCGCCACCUCACUCACCCCACUCCUUUCAGAUCUGAGUGACAAGCUCCUGUUACAAUUCCAGGUUCCAUAUCUAAAAAGAUAAGAACAAAAAACGGAACCAUGCAUCGCUGCCUCGUCAACUAGAGCCGUCAAAUCAAGAUAAAACGAUCGACAGAGCUCACACCAGACCCUAAAAGCAGACCCAACCCGGUACCGUCUCUUCACACGACUCGCCGAUCUUCCAGGUUCACCAUCAGCCUACCUUGUUCCUCUUCGCCGCGGCCAGAGCGAAACUAGAGACCUCUGAUAAAAUCUAGAACCACCGAGCAUCUCGGCGGGAAGUGAGAACACCACCGAGAAGAGCAAAAGGACAACGAGAGAGGAGAUUGAGGAAACCUCCGACGCUGGAAAAGGUCACCGGACGUCGGGGGUAGCGCCGCCUUGCUAGGGUUUCUUCCUGUUCUUUAGAGAGAAAUGUCGCGAUUUUUUACAAAUAAACUGAAAACUAAAAAUGAAUGUUAAUGCUUAUGAU